rnacentral:rRNA from 1 species
UGGGGAAUCUUCCGCAAUGGACGAAAGUCUGACGGAGCAACGCCGCGUGAGUGAAGAAGGUUUUCGGAUCGUAAAACUCUGUCUUUUGGGGCGAACGUGAGUAUGGUGAACAAUCAUAGUCAGUGACGGUACCAAAGGAGGAAGCCACGGCUAACUACGUGCCAGCAGCCGCGGUAAUACGUAGGUGGCAAGCGUUGUCCGGAAUUAUUGGGCGUAAAGAGCGCGUAGGCGGGAUAGUCAGUCUGUUGUAAAGUGCGGGGCUCAACCCCGUGAUGGCAAUGGAAACAGCUAUUCUUGAGUGCAGGAGAGGAAAGUGGAAUUCCCAGUGUAGCGGUGAAAUGCGUAGAUAUUGGGAGGAACACCAGUGGCGAAGGCGACUUUCUGGACUGUGUCUGACGCUGAGGCGCGAAAGCCAGGGGAGCGAACGGGAUUAGAUACCCCGGUAGUCCUGGCCGUAAACGAUGGGUACUAGGUGUGGGAGGUAUCGACCCCUUCCGUGCCGGAGUUAACGCAAUAAGUACCCCGCCUGGGGAGUACGGUCGCAAGACUGAAACUUAAAUGAAUUGAC